rnacentral:rRNA from 1 species
GACGAACGCUGGCGGCGUGCUUAACACAUGCAAGUCGAACGAAGUGGCGACCGGGUGAGUAACGCGUCAUCAACCUGCCCUUCAGAGGGGGACAACAGUUGGCAACGACUGCUAAUACCGCAUACUUAAGGCGGGGAUUGCGUCUGCUUAGCUAGUUGGAGGGGUACCGGCCCACCAAGGCGAUGAUCAGUAGCCGGUCUGGGAGGAUGAACGGCAACAGUGGGACGGAGAAACGGCCCAGACUCCUACGGGAGGCAGCAGUGGGGAAUCUUCCGCAAUGGACGAAAGUCUGACGGAGCAACGCCGCGUGAGUGAUGACGGCCUUCGGGUUGUAAAGCUCUGUUAAUCGGGACGCGGUACCGGAAUAGAAAGCCACGGCUAACUACGUGCCAGCAGCCGCGGUAAUUC